GGACCUUACCUGGUCUUGACAUCCACGGAAUUUGGCAGAGAUGCCUUAGUGCCUUCGGGAACCGUGAGACAGGUGCUGCAUGGCUGUCGUCAGCUCGUGUUGUGAAAUGUUGGGUUAAGUCCCGCAACGAGCGCAACCCUUAUCCUUUGUUGCCAGCGGUCCGGCCGGGAACUCAAAGGAGACUGCCAGUGAUAAACUGGAGGAAGGUGGGGAUGACGUCAAGUCAUCAUGGCCCUUACGACCAGGGCUACACACGUGCUACAAUGGCAUAUACAAAGAGAAGCGACCUCGCGAGAGCAAGCGGACCUCAUAAAGUAUGUCGUAGUCCGGAUUGGAGUCUGCAACUCGACUCCAUGAAGUCGGAAUCGCUAGUAAUCGUGAUCAGAAUGCCCCC
rnacentral:rRNA from 1 species